rnacentral:rRNA from 1 species
AAUGGAAGGAAAAUCCUGGAUGUGUACAACUUCAUCUGAUCUUGGAAGCCAAGCAGGGUCAGGCCAGGUUAGUACUUGAAUGGGAGAUAAGAGAAGGAAAUCCCUGGCCUCUCCCACCU